AGUGAACGCUGGCGGUAGGCCUAACACAUGCAAGUCGAACGGCAGCACAGUAAGAGCUUGCUCUUACGGGUGGCGAGUGGCGGACGGGUGAGGAAUACAUCGGAAUCUACUUUUUCGUGGGGGAUAACGUAGGGAAACUUACGCUAAUACCGCAUACGACCUACGGGUGAAAGCAGGGGAUCUUCGGACCUUUCGCGAUUGAAUGAGCCGAUGUCGGAUUAGCUAGUUGGCGGGGUAAAGGCCCACCAAGGCGACGAUCCGUAGCUGGUCUGAGAGGAUGAUCAGCCACACUGGAACUGAGACACGGUCCAGACUCCUACGGGAGGCAGCAGUGGGGAAUAUUGGACAAUGGGCGCAAGCCUGACCCAGCCAUACCGCGUGGGUGAAGAAGGCCUUCGGGUUGUAAAGCCCUUUUGUUGGGAAAGAAAAGCAGCAGGUUAAUACCCCGCUGUUCUGACGGUACCCAAAGAAUAAGCACCGGCUAACUUCGUG
rnacentral:rRNA from 1 species